rnacentral:rRNA from 1 species
UACGAAGGUCCCAAGCGUUAUCCGGAUUUAUUGGGUUUAAAGGGUGCGUAGGCGGCUUUGUAAGUUAGAGGUGAAAGCCCGGGGCUCAACCCCGGAACUGCCUUUAAGACUGCAUCGCUUGAAUCCGGGAGAGGUGAGUGGAAUUCCGAGUGUAGAGGUGAAAUUCGUAGAUAUUCGGAAGAACACCAGUGGCGAAGGCGGCUCACUGGACCGGUAUUGACGCUGAGGUGCGAAAGCGUGGGGAGCAAACAGG